UCGGGAAUUUUGGGCAAUGGGCGAAAGCCUGACUCAGCAACGCCGCGUGAAGGAUGAAGUAUUUCGGUAUGUAAACUUCGUAAGAAUAGGAAGAAUAAAUGACGGUACUAUUUGUAAGGUCCGGCUAACUACGUGCCAGCAGCCGCGGUAAUACGUAGGGACCAAGCGUUGUUCGGAUUUACUGGGCGUAAAGGGCGCGUAGGCGGUGUGUCAAGUCAGUUGUGAAAUCUCCGAGCUUAACUCGGAACGGUCAACUGAUACUGUCACACUAGAGUACAGAAGGGGCAAUCGGAAUUCUUGGUGUAGCGGUGAAAUGCGUAGAUAUCAAGAGGAACACCUGAGGCGAAGGCGGGUUGCUGGGCUGAUACUGACGCUGAGGCGCGAAAGCUAGGGUAGCAAACGGGAUUAGAUACCCACGUAGUCCCUGAGCGGGCUGGCAAGGCGCAU
rnacentral:rRNA from 1 species